AGUGAACGCUGGCGGUAGGCCUAACACAUGCAAGUCGAACGGCAGCACAGUAAGAGCUUGCUCUUACGGGUGGCGAGUGGCGGACGGGUGAGGAAUACAUCGGAAUCUACUUUUUCGUGGGGGAUAACGUAGGGAAACUUACGCUAAUACCGCAUACGACCUACGGGUGAAAGCAGGGGAUCUUCGGACCUUGCGCGAUUGAAUGAGCCGAUGUCGGAUUAGCUAGUUGGCGGGGUAAAGGCCCACCAAGGCGACGAUCCGUAGCUGGUCUGAGAGGAUGAUCAGCCACACUGGAACUGAGACACGGUCCAGACUCCUACGGGAGGCAGCAGUGGGGAAUAUUGGACAAUGGGCGCAAGCCUGAUCCAGCCAUACCGCGUGAGUGAAGAAGGCCUUCGGGUUGUAAAGCCCUUUUGUUGGGAAAGAAAAGCAGUGUGUUAAUCCGCCGCUAUUCUGACGGUACCCAAAGAAUAAGCACCGGCUAACUUCGUG
rnacentral:rRNA from 1 species